rnacentral:rRNA from 1 species
UUUUAUGGAGAGUUUGAUCCUGGCUCAGGAUGAACGCUGGCGGCGUGCCUAAUACAUGCAAGUCGAGCGAACGGACGAGAAGCUUGCUUCUCUGAUGUUAGCGGCGGACGGGUGAGUAACACGUGGAUAACCUACCUAUAAGACUGGGAUAACUUCGGGAAACCGGAGCUAAUACCGGAUAAUAUUUUGAACCGCAUGGUUCAAAAGUGAAAGACGGUCUUGCUGUCACUUAUAGAUGGAUCCGCGCUGCAUUAGCUAGUUGG